rnacentral:rRNA from 1 species
UACGGGGGGGGUAAGCGUUGUUCGGAAUUACUGGGCGUAAAGGGCUCGUAGGCGGCCAACUAAGUCAGACGUGAAAUCCCUCAGCUUAACUGGGGAACUGCGUCUGAUACUGGAUGGCUUGGAUUCGGGAGAGGAAUGCGGAAUUCCAGGUGUAGCGGUGAAAUGCGUAGAUAUCUGGAGGAACACCGGUGGCGAAGGCGGCAUUCUGGACCGAUAUUGACGCUGCGGAGCGAAAGCCAGGGGAGCAAACGGG